rnacentral:rRNA from 1 species
CAGUAGCCGCGGUAAUACGUAGGCAGCAAGCGUUGUUCGGAGUUACUGGGCGUAAAGGGUGUGUAGGCGGUUGUUUAAGUUUGGUGUGAAAUCUCCCGGCUCAACUGGGAGGGUGCGCCGAAUACUGAAUGACUAGAGUAUGGGAUGGGAGAGUAGAAUUCCUGGUGUAGCGGUGAAAUGCGUAGAUAUCAGGAGGAAUACCGGUGGUGUAGACGGCUCUCUGGACCAUUACUGACGCUGAGACACGAAAGCGUGGGUAGCAAACAGGAUUAGAGACCCCUGUAGUCCCUGUCUCUUAUAC